UUGUUUGGAACUGACAUGAAUUUCAAACUCGCUCCCACUCUGCUCAUUUUCGCAGGGAGUUCGUGAAACAUGGGAGGCCGUGGGGUCGCGAUCUCUAUCAAUCAAUAGAAGCAGAGAUUUCUUUGUAGGCCGUCUGGCAUCAAGGUCAAAACUCAGCUGUGUACUUUAAGAUUUUUCUUUAACUUCUCAGGAUUUUUUAGGAGGUUUUUGGUCAUUUAUACGUAAGAUCUGAGGAUUUUGCUUCCUAGUGGCUAGUUUGCCGCCAUGUAUCUUUAAAGCAUGUGCUAAAUGGGUGCCGUUUUCUUUGUACAGGAAAGGUGAGAGUGAGACAGUGCUGCUGAUUCCUGACCCCUUGGGUGAAGACUAAACCGCACGUGGAAAGCAAGCAGCGUUAUUUAAAGGGACACGGAGAUAAAAUACAGUGGUAUGAUGGAUACAACGGCUGAAAAACGAGAUGGAUCCAUCCAUCUCAGACUUUCAAUGGCUCCCAUUACUCACUUGAUUCCAGUCUCCCAUUUUCAGGAAAAUUCUGAGUGUGCCGCAAGGAGAUUUGCUGCCCAUUUGUACAGCACUGCUGAGAAGGGAAAAUGGGGACAAAAGGGAGAAUGAUCCCAUUUGAGGCUGGGCACAGGCAGAGCCAGGAGAGGUUCCCGCUUGGUGUUUUUGUCCCGUUCCCCAGCCGAGAGCCCGAGUCCCAGCUCAGCAGUGGGACAUGGCAGGUAGAGCUGCAGCCCAAGCACAUGGUCAGUGUUAGCCCGUGUGGCUUUGGCUCUCCAGCUGGUUUGCUCUGAAAAGAAACAUGCAGCAGGAAGGAAAAAAUGGCUCCGUGACAAGUGUGUUUCCAUCAGCCCAGCUUAAACAGACCGCGAUGCUUUGGGACCUUUCCUGAUAAUUAAAAGCAGCGUGAUGGCUCUUUGCUGGUGAGAAUUUAUUCUGUCACUUGGCCUUAAAGAACUAUCCUUGUCAAGCAGUGUCACACGCUGGUGUCAGGGCUGUGCUCGCUCCGGUGUGGCUGUUUGUGAUGGUCCCUGUUUGCUGUAUGUACACACGGGCAGUCAGGGCUGGCUCCUGUCCCUGUCGCCGCCUGUCCUUGUCACCCUCUCAUCACCUGGCCUGUCCCUGAACAGCAACACGCUGCACUGGGGUCGCAUUGGAGGAAUUCGCAUCCGUUCCAGGCAAACGCUUCCCAUCAACAAGGCAGCAUCGCUGCCAGCAGGCAGUUGCCAUGGCAAUGCGGUUCUGUAAUGGCCCAAGCAGAUGAUUAUUGUUAUUUAUUAUUUUAAUCUCACCCUGGUCCCCUCUGCAGAGCCGAAAUGGAUAUGGGCAGAGCGUGGGUGCAGGAGGAGAGCGUGGGGGGCGAUGUCCCACACCAGCACUGUCCUUCAGUCGGAGGGGACCAGUGGUGGCGCAGGGCUUGGUGUCAGGGACAGGACCGCGCUCUUCUUGGGAUGCUGGGGGGUACCACAGUGGAGUUGCCUCGCCCACGGGGGCUGUUUUGGUGCUACCAGAACACCAUGCCAGCAUCGGCAUGGGGACAUUGGAGCCGUUUGAAGGCAGGCAUCACUCCCUCCAUUUAGAUUCAGGCUGUUUAAAAGGUUUGUCUCCAUGCAUGGUACGAGCACGCUGUCCCCAGCCUGCUGCUCGCUGUUCCAGCUCGGGAGAUGCCUGCAGCUGGUCGAGCACAUUUCUCUUCCUGUUACUGUUCAUUUGUUGGUAUCGGAGCAGCAACAGGUGCCCCAGUGUGUCCAGAGGUACAGGCAGAGGGACUUGUGGGUGCUUCAAAGGGCACUGCACACAUUGGUACUACUUGGAUUGCAAGCGAAGGGAGAAAUCUGUGCCAAACACCACGAGUGGCAUCGCCUCUGAGUGCCAGCUUGAACAGAGAGAAGGGCUUGAAUUUGGGGGCUGAAGUCACGGUGUCACAUCAGCUUUCUGCAGAUGGGGUGGUAAAGCUUCACCAGCACAGACCCCCCUCACUGUGGGACGUUCACCUGCGUGGGGUGUGCGGGGCGCACACGCCACGAGCUCUCCGCACACCCACGGGCUGCUGUGUUGCUGAGAGCUCAGCACGUCCCACGCUGUGCGGGGACCCCGGUGACAGCCCAAGGUCACCGGGAUGUCACAGCAGACCUUGGAAUUGAGAUUUCAUCUUCUCAAGCUGCUCAGUGCUUUGCUCUCAAAGCCAUCCUUCAUCCUUCCUAAGGGAAGGGACCGCCUCGCCCAGAGGCACACGGAGCUUUUCAUAUACGCGGUAUCAAUCUCUGUAAGGAAAGCACUUUUAUAUUGAAGAUCUGAUAGAGGAAUAAAUUCCCAUAGAAGUAGAAAGCAGAAGCUAAUAGGUUUUUUCACAAUGAAAGAAUAGAUGUGCUGACAAAGGCAUUUCCAGGGCAUCAAAAUAAACUGUAUUUUCUGUGAAGACCAGGGCUCUUCCAGAGCUCCUCUGCCAGCAGUCCGGCCGGGAACAGCCUCUGGGACCAGCCGUCCCUGGGACACUCGGCCCGGCCCCAAGCUCAAUCUGGGGUCACCCCGUCUGUCACCCAUGGGGAGCAGUCCUGUGCGUGGUCUAUCUUGGGUCAGUUAUCUCCCCCUUUGCUCCUGGUCCUUCUGCCCAUCCCCUGUGUGCCCGGGGAUGCGAGAGCAUCCGACCUGCCUUGCCAGCGCCCAUCCGCUCCUGGUCCUCUCUGUUACAGGAUUCCAGAGCCUUGCUCUGGUUUUCCUUUGCUUUUUUUAUCCCGCUGCGUUCCUCCCGAUUCCCUUUGCUGGCUCUGAAUUUGCUUUUUGGGUGAGCACAUCGCUGCCCCAGCAUACAGCUCCAGUGUGGUACCUGAAUCCCCUGGGUCCUGCUGUGGUCGGAGCACCAGCGAUGGUCCCAGCUGCAUCUUCUAGGGGG